rnacentral:rRNA from 1 species
CGGGGUGAGUAACGCGUGGGUAACCUGCCUCAUACAGGGGGAUAACAGUUAGAAAUGACUGCUAAUACCGCAUAAGCGCACAGUGCUGCAUGGCACGGUGUGAAAAACUCCGGUGGUAUGAGAUGGACCCGCGUCUGAUUAGCUAGUUGGUGGGGUAACGGCCUACCAAGGCGACGAUCAGUAGCCGGCCUGAGAGGGUGAACGGCCACAUUGGGACUGAGACACGGCCCAA